UUUCCCAAACGGAGGAAAAGAAACCAACCGGGAUUGCCUUAGUAACGGCGAGUGAAGCGGCAAAAGCUCAAAUUUGAAAUCUGGCGUCUUCGACGUCCGAGUUGUAAUUUGAAGAAGGCGACUUUGUAGCUGGUCCUUGUCUAUGUUCCUUGGAACAGGACGUCAUAGAGGGUGAGAAUCCCGUGUGGCGAGGAUCCCAGUUAUUUGUAAAGUGCUUUCGACGAGUCGAGUUGUUUGGGAAUGCAGCUCUAAGUGGGUGGUAAAUUCCAUCUAAAGCUAAAUAUUGGCGAGAGACCGAUAGCGAACAAGUACAGUGAUGGAAAGAUGAAAAGAACUUUGAAAAGAGAGUGAAAAAGUACGUGAAAUUGUUGAAAGGGAAGGGCAUUUGAUCAGACAUGGCGUUUGCUUCGGCUUUCGCUGGGCCAGCAUCAGUUUUAGCGGUUGGAUAAAUCCUCGGGAAUGUGGCUCUGCUUCGGUAGAGUGUUAUAGCCCGUGGGAAUACAGCCAGCUGGGACUGAGGAUUGCGACUUUUGUCAAGGAUGCUGGCGUAAUGGUUAAAUGCCGCCCGUCUUGAACCACCGGACCA
rnacentral:rRNA from 1 species